rnacentral:rRNA from 1 species
AGUUUCGAAUCAUUCACAAUGGGCGAAAGCCUGAUGGUGCGACGCCGCGUGAGGGACGAAGGUCUUCGGAUUGUAAACCUCUGUCACCGGGGAAGAAACGCCAAGGGUUAACAGCCCUUGGCCUGACUUAACCCGGAGAGGAAGCAGUGGCUAACUCUGUGCCAGCAGCCGCGGUAAUACAGAGACUGCAAGCGUUAUUCGGAUUCACUGGGCGUAACGGGUGCGCAGGCGGCCAUGUGUGUCUGGUGUGAAAUCUCGGGGCUUAACCCCGAAAUUGCGCCGGAAACUACAUGGCUAGAGUACUGGAGAGGGUAGCGGAAUUCAUGGUGUAGCAGUGAAAUGCGUAGAUAUCAUGAGGAACACCAAUGGCGAAGGCAGCUACUUGGACAGUUACUGACGCUCAGGCACGAAAGCGUGGGGAGCAAAAGGGAUUAGAUACCCCUGUAGUCCACGCCCUAAACGGUGCACACUAGGUCUUGGAGGAUUCGACCCCUUCAGGGCCCAAGCUAACGCGUUAAGUGUGCCGCCUGAGGACUACGGCCGCAAGGCUAAAACUCAAAGGAAUUGACGGGGGCCCGCACAAGCGGUGGAGUAUGUGGCUUAAUUCGAUGCAACGCGAAGAACCUUACCUGGCCUUGACAUGCUUUGGACCGGCGCUGAAAGGCGCCUUCUCUUCGGAGCCGGAGCACAGGUGCUGCAUGGCUGUCGUCAGCUCGUGUCGUGAGAUGUUGCGUUAAGUCGCGCAACGAGCGCAACCCCUGUCCUUAGUUGCCAUCAUUUAGUCGGGCACUCUAAGGAGACAAACCCUCUCUGAGGGUGGGARGGUGGGGAUGACGUCAAGUCAGGAUGGCCCUUACGGCCAGGGCUGCACACGUACUACAAUGCUCGGUACAGAGGGACGCUAUGCCGCGAGGCGAUGCAAAUCUCAAAAACCGAGCCCAGUUCAGAUUGUAGUCUGCAACUCGACUACAUGAAGUUGGAAUCGCUAGUAAUGGCGCAUCAGCUACGGCGCCGUGAAUACGUUCCCGGGCCUUGUACACACCGCCCGUCACAUCAUGAAGGCCGGUUUUGCCCGAAGUGCGUUUGCCAACCAGCAAUGGAGGCGGCGCCCUAAGGUGAAGCUGGUGAUUGGGAUGAAGUCGUAACAAGGUAACCGUA